UGGAACACACAGAAAGAUGCCUGGUGCCACAAGUUCCUCUGGUCUGGGACCUUCAGAUAGACUUUUGGUUUCCCUGUCACUCACAAGCCAGCAUAGGGCGAUAAAGAUAACCAAGACCAAAGGAGGCUGGGUCCUCAGACCACUCCCCAGCUAGGCCUCAGGUUACUUGAAAGAAUACAGACACAGGAAAAUCCAGCAGGUGAGAGGCCAAACUGAAUCCUAUUUCUCUCACUGCAGUAUACAAAGAGAGGAAAUUUAACCUAAUAUUGAGCACAGUGGUGAGCCAGGAAUCUGUGCUCUGGUCCUAACAUUGCCCAUGUUCAGCUGUAUAUCUCUUAGGUGGAUCACUUAACCUCUCUGUGUCUCAGUGUCCACAUCUUUCGAAGGGAAAUAACAAAGUGGCUUCCUCAUAGUAUUGCUAGGAUAAACAAAGAGAUAAAAUGGAAUAAUCCAUGUAAAGUCCUAUGAAAAAGUAAAAAAAUACUACACAAAUUAUUAUUCAGUGAUAAGAUACUUCACAUGCUUGAUAUUCUCAGGCUUCCCACUCUCCACCCCAUCUAAUCCCAGCUUCAAGGCAACAAAUUCCUCCAAAAAGAAAGCCUUUUUUUCUAUUGGAGCAACUUUGUAUACAAUCAAUACAUCUGUGUCAACCCAAAGGUUCCUCUGGGCCAAGUGAUAACCCUGUGAAUCCUUUUUCUGGAAGUCCAGGCCAUUAAGACCAUAAACACCUGAAAAAUAUGAGGCCUUCUACUCCUGCAAACCUCUACAUGAUCCUCAGUUCUGAAGGGCCAGAACAGCUCAAAAUAAGAAGUCAGACAGUCCUAGGACUUUCACUAACUUCACUGCCAAGGUGCAACCACACAGGAGGGCAGGGUCCCUUACUACUCAGAGAGUCCUGUGCUCGUUACAGAAGCAACAAAGUCUGCACGCUUGGAUAUGGUUCACCCCUCUCCUACCACACCAUGUGCAGGAACAGAACUGAGCCUCAACAAUUAAGCAACAGCAUUUUUUGCAUGACUUCCAUCACUUGAGCAUGCCCCAAACUUCCAGAUGAACUACUUACAUCUACAGCAGCUGCCUAGUCAUCUGCCAUGGGAGAACAUGGGCAAUUGAAACUCAACUUCCUCUUCCACUCAGAGCCCACAGCAAGUAGUAAGAAGCCAUCUGGAAGUUUUCUGGAGGAUCAGAAAAAGCCAGCCUGGAAUAAUUUUUUAAAAAAGAAGUAGAGUUAUGGUGCUUGGGAAAAGCUGUGAGAAGUGAGUUCCAGGCCCAGCGUUGGCACAAUCUAUGUAACCCUGGGCUUACCUGUUGCCCUGCUGCCCUGUGAGAGAGCAACACCUGGGAGAGAAGUCAGAGGAGUGAAUCAGAGGAGCGACAGG